CCGCCGCCCUCCGGGGGCCGCAGCGCGAUCUCCAUGGCCCGGGGGCGGGGGGCAUGCUGGGCCCUGCCGGGCUCGCCGCUCCCGUCCGCUGCUCUCCGCCGGUCUGGUCGGGCGGGCAGGGCUGCUGGCUCCCGGGUCCUGACGUCAGGCUGCCACCGCCUCGCCUCAGACUCUGGGCUCUGGCAGCCGUUACCAAGCAGCCAAAAGCCUCCUUCCCGCAGACGCCACCCGCGGCCUCCGCCCACCGCGCCGUCUCCGCCCCGCGCCCCUCCGGCCGGGCUGUAGUCCCGCAGGAGGGCAGGAGGGCAGGAGGGAGCCGCGCGCCGAGCCAGGAACAGGUUAAAUAUCAUCUGACAGUCUUCGACUGCACAAUGAUACCAACUUGUGGAGA
rnacentral:lncRNA from 1 species